rnacentral:lncRNA from 1 species
GCAGUACAGCCCCUCAAAUGAGGUCAGCAAUAUUGAGGGGAAUCUCUUCAAUGGAGGUGUUGUAGAAUGUCUCAGUGUCUCGAAGAGUCCUCUUGUCUUCUUCUGUCACCAUAUUGAUAGCCACACCUUUACGGCCAAAGCGACCACCACGACCAAUUCUGUGGAUGUAGUUUUCCCUGUUGGUGAGAAGGUCGUAAUUGAUGACUAAGGAGACCUGCUGCACAUCAAUGCCUCUGGCCAACAGGUCAGUGGUAAUUAAUACUCUGCUAGAACCAGACCGAAACUCCCUCAUGAUCACACCUCGUUCCUUUUGGUCCAUAUCUCCAUGCAUGGUGGAAACAGUGAAAUCCCGGGCAUGCACCUUCUCAGUGAGCCAAUCCACCUUCCUUCUGGUAUUGAUAAAGAUUACUGCCUGGGUGAUAGUCAGGGUUUCAUACAAGUCACACAACGUGUCAAGCUUCCACUCCUCUCUUUCCACAUUGAUGUAGAAUUGACGGAUACCCUCCAGGGUCAACUCUUCUUUCUUGACAAGAAUCCGAAUGGGGUCUCUCAUGAACUUCUUGGUCACCUCAAGGACAUCUGAGGGCAUUGUAGCAGACAACAAAACUACCUGUGUGUUACAGUUAAGCUUUUGGAAUAUAUCAUAUAUCUGGUCCUUGAACCCACGGCUUAACAUUUCAUCUGCUUCAUCCAGUACAAACAUCUUGAUGUAUUUGGGGGACAAGUAUCUCCGGUUAAGCAUAUCAAACACCCGGCCAGGGGUGCCCAUGAUGAUAUGGGGAGCUUCCAUCUGCAACUUCUGCACCUCAGCACGCACAUUGGUGCCUCCAAUAUAGGCAUGACAAGAGGCACCCAUGUAGUCUCCUAAUGCCAUGACCACCUUUUGAAUCUGCUGAGCCAACUCAGGAGUGGGUGCCAGAAUCAAAGCCUGAGUGGCCUUAAGAUCUAACUCAAUCUGCUGCAGAAUUGAUAUGGCAAAUGUAGCUGUUUCCCCAGUCCCAGACUGGGCUUGAGCAAUCACAUCAUAACACUUGAUACAAGGAAGAAUGGCUCGCUGCUGGAUGGCAGAGGGCUUCUCAAAACCAUAGGCAUAAAUACCACGGAGGAGGGAUUCUGAGAGAUUCAUGCCAUCAAAGCUAUCCACAAUUUCAUUUCAGUUACUGUUGAUGACGC